AGCUCCAAUAGCGUAUAUUAAAGUUGUUGCAGUUAAAAAGCUCGUAGUUGGAUUUCUGGUAGGAGCGACCAUGUCAGGCUUGAUUGUCUGUGCAAUGUGUUGUCUCCAGCCAUCCUCGUGGAGAGCGUUUGUGGCAUUAACUUGUCGUAGGCGGGACCCGCGUCAUUUACUGUGAAAAAAUUAGAGUGUUUAAAGCAGGCAAUUGGCUUGAAUACAUUAGCAUGGAAUAAUAAGAUAGGACUUUGGUGCUAUUUUGUUGGUUUGCACAUCAAGGUAAUGAUUAACAGAAUCAGUCGGGGAUAUUCGUAUGCAAAUGUCAGAGGUGAAAUUCUUGGAUUUUUUACAGACGAACUACUGCGAAAGCAUUUAUCAAGGAUGUUUUCA
rnacentral:rRNA from 1 species